rnacentral:rRNA from 1 species
ACGCCAUUUGGUGGAUUGCUCGGCUCGAGAGCUGAUGAAGGUCGUGCCAAGCCGCGAUAUUACUCCGUGUAGGCGCAAGGAGCCUUUGAUACGGAGAUUACCGAAUUGGACAUCCUAUCGCUUCGGCGAUAUUCGCGUCAGCGAAGAGGAACCUGCCGAAUUGAAACAUCUUAGUAGGCAGAGGAAAAGAAAUCAAUCGAGAUUGGGUUAUUAAAGGCGAUCGAACACCCAACAGGGCAAACCGAAUCCCCUAGCGACGAACUAGGGGAGAUGUGGAGUUUGGACUCAUUUACUCCCAAACUGGCAAACUCGAAGUCCUCUGGAAAGAGGUACCAUAGAGGGUGAUAGUCCUGUAGAGGUAAACCAGUGGGAGAUUUUUGGGUAUCCAGAGUAACGUGCGUUGGAUAUCGCGCGUGAAUACGGGAGGCAUAAACUUCCAACCCUAAAUACUACUCGAGACCGAUAGUGCAAUAGUAGCGUGAGUGAACGUUGCAAAGUACCCCUUGCGGGAGGUGCAAAGAGCAUGAAAUCAAAUGGUUACAGACUGAUAAGGCAUGAAAGCGACGAAGCUAUCUUAGAUAGUGGAGCAAUGUCUUGUCGUUCGUUUUGAAUAAUGACCCAGGGAGUUCCUGGUAAUGGCGAGGUUAAGGGCUUAAGGCCUGAAGCCGCAGCGAAAGCAAAUGUCCGCAGGCAACAAGGGACAAGGUGUGCUCGCCUGUAGUCAUUACCACGAGACCCGAAGCCAGCCGAUCUAUGCGUGGCCAGGUUGAAGCCCCAUGAAAGUGGGGUGGAGGACCGAACCGGUGCUGAUGUGCAAAUCGUUCGGAUGAGCUGCGUAUAGGGGCAAAAGACCAAUCUAGACUGGCAAUAGCUGGUUCCCCCCGAGACUACCCGCAGGUAGAUCUCUGAUGAGAUGGAAUACACGGUAGAGCACUAAUUGGGAGCUUAGGGGAAGAAAUUCCUCGGCACCUUGCUAAACUCCGAAUGUGUAUUCAUCGUAGAAUCAGGGUAGUGAGGGCAUCUGGGGUAAACUUGAUGUCCGAAAGGGAAACAACCCAGCCUUGCGUUAAGGUCCCUAAGUGUUAGCUAAGUGUCAAAGAACAAAAAGCGUUUACGGUCUCAGACAACCAGGAGGUUGGCUUAGAAGCAGCCAUCCUUUAAAGAUAGCGUAACAGCUCACUGGUCGAGAUUGUAUGCCUUGAAAAUGGACGGGGCUAAGUUAACCACCGAUACGUAAGCACUCCAAAAUGGAGAUGAGUAGGGGGGCGUCGUGCGUGGGUAGAAGUUUGGUCGUAAGAUCAAGUGGACCGCGUUCGAACGAGAAUCCUGGGAAAAGUAGCAGCAUAGUAGAGUGAGAAUCUCUACCACCGAAAGGGCUAGGUUUCCUCGACGAUGUCCAUCAGUCGAGGGUUAGUCGGUCCUAAGGCAACCCUUAAUUGAAGUUGCCGAAUGGGAAACAGGUUAAUAUUCCUGUACUUUACAAACAUUUGCUCAUAUUUUGACGCAUUCGGGUAGAUUUUACAGACUAGUCUGUCUGUCUAAGCGUAUUAAGCUAAGGGAGUACCGUCAUGGUGAGAACUUGGUCAAAGCGUGAUGGGUCUGUCGUUUUAGACGGAUUUUAUCGAGCUCGAGUGCCCGUGAAAAUUAGUAUGAGAUGUCGUUUGUAGAUCCGUACCGAGAACUGACACAGGUGCCCCUGGCUGAGUAAGCCAAGGUGUGUCGGCUAAAUCCAGGCGAGGGAACUCGGCAAAUUAGCCCCGUACCUUCGGUAUAAGGGGUGCCUGCUUUGUGAAAAGCAGGUCUCAGUGACUAGGGCGCUCCGACUGUUUAAUAAAAACGUAGGAGACCGCAAGUCCGAAAGGAUGUGUAUGGUCGCCGAAUCCUGCCCAGUGGCGGUAUCUGAAAACCUAUUUCAAUGGGGCGAAGGACCGCUAAACGGCGGGGGUAACCAUGACCCUCUUAAGGUAGCGUAAUACCUUGCCGCUUAAUUGGCGGCUUGCAUGAGUGGCUUAACGAGAGCGCCACUGUCCCCGCUUGGAAACCGGUGAAAUUGACUUACUGGCGCAUAGUCCAGUACCUUCCAGAAGGGAGCGAAGACCCCGUGGAGCUUUACUACAGCCUGUCGCUGUGAUACGGUUUGGAUUGUGAAGCGUAGGUGGGAGCCGUCGAAGCCAGGACGCUAGUUCUGGUGGAGGCGCCAAUGGGACACCACCCUAUCUUUGCCGUACCACUAACUUGCAAAAGGACACCGAUCGGUGGGUAGUUUGGGUGGGGCGCCACGCGCUCGAAAAGAUAUCAAGCGCGCCCAAAGGUCACCUCAAGGAGUUCAGAAAUCUCCUGUAGAAUGCAAGGGUAAAAGGUGGCUUUAUACGGAUUGGGCCAAUAACAAUCCGCAUUGCGAAAGCAGGGCCUAGCGAACCAAUGAACCUCAUUUAUGGGGGUCAUUGAUAACAGAAAAGUUACCCCGGGGAUAACUGAGUCGUCUCCAGCAAGAGCCCAUAUCGACCUGGAGGCUUGCUACUUCGAUGUCGUCUCUCCGCAUCCUGGCGGUGCAGCAGCUGCCAAGGGUGGGGUUGUUCGCCCAUUAAAGCGGAUCGUGAGAUGGGUUUAGACCGUCGUGAGACAGGUUUGUUGCUAACUUCUGGAAGCGUUGAUGUUUGAGGGGAAAGACCCUUUAGUACGAGAGGAACAAGGGUCUGCAGCCUCUAGUUUACCAGUUGUCCGACAGGGCAAUGCUGGGUAGCCACGCUGUAAGGGAUAAAUGCUGAAAGCAUCUAAGCAUGAAGCUCACCUCGAGACGAGACAUCAUAGAACUCGAAUAGAAGAUUCGUUUGAUAGAGCUCAGGUGUACGCAUGAAGCUUCGGCGACAUGUUCAGCCUAGAGCUACUAACCGUUCAUUACUGGCUC